rnacentral:rRNA from 1 species
UACGGAGGGGGCGAGCGUUAUUCGGAAUUAUUGGGCGUAAAGGGUGCGUAGGUGGUCUAUUAAGUCAGUGCUGAAAUAUCCCGGCUUAACCGGGAGGGUGGCAUUGAUACUGAUGGACUUGAGUGGAGUUGAGGUAGGCGGAAUUGACGGUGUAGCGGUGAAAUGCUUAGAUAUCGUCAAGAACACCAAUAGCGAAGGCAGCUUACUAAGCUCUAACUGACACUGAUGCACGAAAGUGUGGGGAUCAAACAGG